rnacentral:lncRNA from 1 species
AUCAAACAACAUAACACAUCCUAUGAUAUUACAUGCAUUCACAUUCAUCCAUUUUUACAUUACAAAUCUCAUUAGAUUCCAACAUUAGCUUUCACUUAACUUCCAAAUACAAUCCAAUUUAACAAUAUUAUUACAACUUGAUUCUUUUCAUUCUUCACAACCCUAAGUAAGGCCGACUCAGGGUACCGCUAUCUCUGGUCUCGGUGGUAGGGCGCUAACUAUGGAGCUACGCCCUCGCCUCGUGCCGCCGCGCCGCUCACGUGCGAACCUGUAACACCCCAAAAUCACGUGGGGUGAGAACCAACUCCAUGGUUCCUAGUGGGUACGGCCACCCAAGGAAAAAGCUCGACCAAUAGGUCCAAGGGAGGCAACUGCAAGUUAGUUCAAUAAACAGAUAGAUAUAUAUCUUGAUUAUGCAACGAAUAAAACCAUGCAUUGCCUCACGAAUGCAAUAAUGCAAUGCUAUAUGCAAAUCAUGCAAUAAUGCAACUAUGCAACCAACUAGUAGUUCAUUUGACACUACUUUCAAUUCUGCUAACCAUAGCUCAUCCAUUCGAUAUCUAAGGUUUCCUCUAUCUUAGAUUCUUGUCAAUCACCGUUUUAAUCAUAAAGUUUCAUCUACCUUUACAAGGCUAACCACCCGACUCGGUCUUGAGUCAAUCGUCUGCGGAGUACCGCACUAGAACCAGGCUCGAGGCGAUGGACGUCUCACAUACACCUCAGCCCUAGAUCCUCUCGACUAGGAUACCAAAUCCAUAACUCAUAAUGCAUACUUGUUGUACACUCAUUUGGCUAUGACCCAAUCUUACCGGUUAACCAUGUUAACCCCAAUAACUCACAACCAAAUCCCUUAAUAACGGGGGACUCGAACCUCCCUAGGGACCGUCAACUGGUGGGACUUUACCACGCCCAGUGGUGACCAACUCCGGAGCGCACCGCCCGAGGGGGAGCUACCUCCCUCAAGCCAAGACGUAACGUGAGUAUCGAUCCAAUCCUCAACUUGAGGAUUCAUAGCCACUCGUCACAAUGCCAAUGUCAUGAUAGGUCUCUACCUAUUUAAUCAUGCCACUCUCUAUGUCAACUUGGACCAAUGUCAAUAUGGUUAAACUAUGUUUAACAAUCACUUUCUUGAUGCCAAUCAUGUCUCUAUUGUCAUUGUCACCCUUGUUUACUAAUGUUCAAGUCCAACUCUCACAUUUACACAAUAAUAGGGUCCUAACAUACAUGAAUGACACCAGAAUAUAUAUGAUCAAUCACCACAAGUGUUUGCUAGGUUCAAGAUGCUAGGUUUAAUGCCACUCGAUCUAAUAUAUAUAUAGAUUGUCCACUAUGUUCCACAACAUGGCAAUAUGUCAUCAAGUAUGUUUUUCUAUUUAACAUAAUCCACAAUAUGUAAAUUCAUAAUAUAUCAUCAUGCACAUAUACCACUAGCAUCACAUGAUUUGUCAACAUACAUAUAGUCAUUAUCCAAAAUAGUCCAUACUUAGCAUCUCAUGCAUUCUUUUAGCACUUAAUUCAUUAUGCAUUACAUUUAGCAUUUCUAUAGUAUGUUAACAUGCAUUCUUUUCACAUUCUUAUAUUAUGUCAAUAUGCAUCAAUAUGAAAUCUCAUUUCUUAGACAUAAAGGGCGACCUAGUCGCUUCGGUAAACACAACCCACCUCAUUUCGCAUUCCGAUUGCUUGUCGACACUUGCAAUCGGCCGCCCGCGGCACCCGGCACCCGGUUUGGCCCGAUCUCUCACGCGACCACCCGAACGGCCUCCAAUUCACGAUCCGAAAAUUAAAGGUCUUCGGUUAUGUGCCACGAUGCUUCAAAUCCAUUUUCAUGAAUUUACGGUAUCGCCUCGGCCCUCCCGGCGGACCCGAAGCCUAAACGUCCAUUUCUUUAAUAACUUUGUAACGGCUCGUCGGAUUGCCGAACCGUCUUCGCCAACGCGUUUCGUUACCUAGCAAUUUGGUUUACGGAGGGUCAAAUGAGAUCAAACCCUCAUAUGUUGAAAGUUUGCAUUUUGAGCCCUAGGUUUACAACUAUGCAAGAAAUCAUUAAAUUGCUCUAUGAUUCAAGCAUUAAUCAUCUAUUAGGCAUCAAUGGGUUCCACUAAAACCAUUUCCAAAGCAUUUAGACCUAUCUUUAGAGAUCUACCAUUAAAGCCCUCAUUUUGGAGCUCUAGGUUUCAAUAGGUAAAAAUCCACCAUUAGAGCCUUGAUUUCAAGCAUCAAACCUCUAAUUAGCAUGCUAGAAUACCUCUAAAUCCAUUCUUAGAGCUUAAAAACCAAACUAGAGAGAAAUGCCAUUAAAGGGUUUGAAGCUUACCUUCAAAGCUUGCUCUAAUGGAGAAGAAGAAGAUAGAGAAGAUGAAAAUCCAUCCUUGAGCUUCAAUCUCCACCAAAACCCUCUCUUUUUGGGAGAGAUUUAGAGAGAGAAAGGGAGAUCUCUCUCUCCCUCCAUGUAUGCGUGUGUGUGUGUGUGGCGUGUGCGCGUGUGGUGUGCGGCCGAAGGAGAAGAAGAAGCAGCAGCUUCUUAAUAAUACCCCCAAGACACUAUUCACUCCCGGGCAGCUUGAAAUCUGAUAACUUUCGCCGGAGCUCCCUGAAUGUCCGUUUGAGCUCAAACUUGACAGUCAUGUUCGGUUUUACUUAACUUAACAAGCUGACGAUCACUGGUUCAGUUUCGACCCCGUUUGGUCACUGAAAACUGUACCGAAUUGCAAUCUUUAUCAGAUAGCUUUCGGAUUUUAUUUCUCACUCUACCGGUGUCAAAAAAAUAUGAAACCUUAAAUCUAGCAUCAUAAAAAUAUUUCUGACAUCUCUGCCAAUUUUCAUAAUUUUCUGAGACUGUGCAUUUUCUGCUAAUUUAUCUGCCCCGUUUCCAACAGAAAAUUCUAAAUCUUCUGUUUUAAUUCCGAUUUCAGCACAGGUCAUUUCUGACUUAUGUUUUACUCCUACAAAUCCAAUAAAAAUAGUUUCUCACACUAUUUUUAUUUAUUUUUAUUUUUAUA